rnacentral:lncRNA from 10 species
CUCCCACAAGGCCUGGGAGGCCAGCUCUGCAUUUCCUAGCUUGCAGCAGGGGAAAAAUCUGUGAUUGACCUGGCUGAGACCUUCGCCCCAUACGCUUCUGGGCAUCCCGAGAGAUCCAAGACUCUGGGGUCCAUCCGGGGAGUGGCUGUGGAGCAGCUAAGAGGGGAAGUGGGCAUUAGACAUGUCCUCUCUGGAAAGAAAAAGGUGAACACCCAGGAGAAGAGCUAGCAGGGAGAAGGAGGAGCGGGCCAAUCACGAAGGAGAAAGUCCUAGAUGGAGCCUUCUCAUCCUCAGAAACCACACUGGUUAAAUCAGUGGAUCUUAACUUUGGCUGCAUAUCGGCAUCACCACAGGAAGUUUCAAAAAUUCCAGUGCCUGAGUCCCACCACAGGGAUUCUGAUUUAAUGGGUUUGGGGGGCGGCUUGGCUUUGGGGAUUUUUAAAAGCUCCCUAGGUGAUUCCUAGAGUCAGCCAACUUUGCAAACCAUGGAGUUAAAAACCCAAAACACAAACUUAUUUGCUUCGGUCCUGAAGGAUCUCAGCUGACUGUAGUUGGCCUGGUUAUUGUGAGCAAAUCUGAUUAAGGUCACAGUUCUUAGCAGCUGUGUGAUCUUGGGAUGGUCUCUAACCUCUGGGAUGCUCCUCUGUAGAAUUGUGAUGCUGUGAAGAUUGGAUGAGCUAAAGAGCUGGGCAUGGGGUGGAGGCCACCAGUAGGCGACAGCUAUUGAGUGUCUUGCAUGACUAUAGGAUGGCAAAUAAUUCUCAAUAUGC